GCCCCGGUGGUGGAACUGGUAGACACAGCGGACUUAAAAUCCGCCGCCGACGAAAGAAGGCGUGCCGGUUCGAUCCCGGCCCGGGGCACCA
rnacentral:tRNA from 1 species